rnacentral:rRNA from 13 species
UGGAAAGUGCCGCCAUAGUGGGUGAUAGCCCCGUAUCCGAAACCUGAGUCUGGUGAAAUCGAGUAGGACGGGACACGUGAUAUCCUGUCUGAACAUGGGGGGACCAUCCUCCAAGGCUAAAUACUCCUGACUGACCGAUAGUGAACCAGUACCGUGAGGGAAAGGCGAAAAGAACCCCUGUGAGGGGAGUGAAAUAGAACCUGAAACCGGAUGCGUACAAGCAGUCAGAGCCCGCAAGGGUGAUGGCGUACCUUUUGUAUAAUGGGUCAGCGACUUACUAGUCUGUAGCAAGCCUAACCGUAUAGGGAAGGCGUAGGGAAACCGAGUCUUAAUAGGGCGCUUAGUUGCAGGCUGUAGACCCGAAACCCGUCGAUCUAU